CGCUCUUCCAGUUGAGGAGGAUUAGCUGUAGGCUAGCCCUCGUGGCUUAAUGCCUGCUCCCUUUUUCUUUUCCGUAUCAGGCUCUUCUCUCAGUGAGCAAGUACACCAGACUCCAGCUGACAUGUACAACAAACCUGAAGAAAAAGCCACAAUAAGCUGCUCACACAGCAUUCAGAACUACAAUCAAAUCCUCUGGUACAAACAAUCGAGGGAUGAAAAACUGCAGUUCCUGGGACACAUGUUUAUAACCUCCACAUACCCAGAGGCUGGACUGGAUGUGAAGAUGGACGGGAGUGCAAAAAAAGACCAAACCUGCACACUAACAGUUGAAGGACUCAGCCUGAAGAGCAGUGCAGUGUACUUCUGUGCUGCUAGAUUACACAGUGCUUCACUUCACUGCUCCUCGGUGGCAGUACAUCUGACUGGUGUUGGAGUUGACAUGAAAUCAGAGAUGAACUGCAGCCACAACAAGGAUGACGGUCUCAACCACAUGUUCUGGUACAGACAGCGUCCUGGGAGACCAUGACCCUCGUGGUGUACACAGUUUUUGGUGGACUAUGAGGGGCUGUGAAAGACUUGCAGCUCGAGGACAGCGGUGUGUAUUUCUGAGCAAACACAGUGAUGUGAGAAGUAAGAUGUACAGUAGGUGGAGCUGGAGCUGCAGAAACACUCAACACUGACAUUUAAUGGAGCUGGUUGACAGAGGAGGGCCUUGAUAAAAGAGUCUAGUAAACUGUAAGUCAGGUGUUCUGUGUUCAUUCAGACUGGAGGUCAACAUGCCAACAUUAUUCUACUUAUCUUGGAUCAUUCAUGAAGGAAUUAUCAUUGUAUCCAUAGUUUCCACACGGUUUACUCAUUCUCUGCUGCUCUUGGUUUGAUGCCGUCGUCUCUGCCAGUGAUGCUGUUUCAUCUGCACUUUCAGACCUCAGGAGAGGAAUCAGUUGGAUCUGCGUUGCUCACAGUGACUUUAAUCUGAAUGUCAGCAACUUAAACUUCCAAAACUUUAUGAUAACUACUUUUACUAUUUAAAGGCUUUUUAGUAACCACUUUAUUUUGAGGAAGUCCAAAUGAUCCAUUUUCUUUUUUUAUGUUGCCUAGCAGGUAAAACUAGUUAAAAUACAAUUGGCUAUUAUGAAGGUGAAAAGGGCUUCAUUUACAUGUUUAACCUGUCACGAUGCACUAUUUAAUUUCUCCGUCCAGGUGGUUGUCUGGGUCUCGAUGUCCGUCAGUCUCCCUCUGAUCUCAUCUCAAAGCCUGGGGUCAAAGUGCAGAUGUUCUGCAGCCAUGACAGAACCAACUACAGGCUGAU